rnacentral:rRNA from 1 species
AGAGUUUGAUCAUGGCUCAGAUUGAACGCUGGCGGCAGGCCUAACACAUGCAAGUCGAACGGUAACAGGAAGCAGCUUGCUGCUUCGCUGACGAGUGGCGGACGGGUGAGUAAUGUCUGGGAAACUGCCUGAUGGAGGGGGAUAACUACUGGAAACGGUGGCUAAUACCGCAUAACGUCGCAAGACCAAAGAGGGGGACCUUCGGGCCUCUUGCCAUCAGAUGUGCCCAGAUGGGAUUAGCUAGUUGGUGAGGUAACGGCUCACCAAGGCGACGAUCCCUAGCUGGUCUGAGAGGAUGACCAGCCACACUGGAACUGAGACACGGUCCAGACUCCUACGGGAGGCAGCAGUGGGGAAUAUUGCACAAUGGGCGCAAGCCUGAUGCAGCCAUGCCGCGUGUAUGAAGAAGGCCUUCGGGUUGUAAAGUACUUUCAGCGGGGAGGAAGGUGUUGUGGUUAAUAACCGCAGCAAUUGACGUUACCCGCAGAAGAAGCACCGGCUAACUCCGUGCCAGCAGCCGCGGUAAUACGGAGGGUGCAAGCGUUAAUCGGAAUUACUGGGCGUAAAGCGCACGCAGGCGGUCUGUCAAGUCGGAUGUGAAAUCCCCGGGCUCAACCUGGGAACUGCAUUCGAAACUGGCAGGCUUGAGUCUUGUAGAGGGGGGUAGAAUUCCAGGUGUAGCGGUGAAAUGCGUAGAGAUCUGGAGGAAUACCGGUGGCGAAGGCGGCCCCCUGGACAAAGACUGACGCUCAGGUGCGAAAGCGUGGGGAGCAAACAGGAUUAGAUACCCUGGUAGUCCACGCCGUAAACGAUGUCUACUUGGAGGUUGUGCCCUUGAGGCGUGGCUUCCGGAGCUAACGCGUUAAGUAGACCGCCUGGGGAGUACGGCCGCAAGGUUAAAACUCAAAUGAAUUGACGGGGGCCCGCACAAGCGGUGGAGCAUGUGGUUUAAUUCGAUGCAACGCGAAGAACCUUACCUGGUCUUGACAUCCACAGAAGAAUCCAGAGAUGGAUUUGUGCCUUCGGGAACUGUGAGACAGGUGCUGCAUGGCUGUCGUCAGCUCGUGUUGUGAAAUGUUGGGUUAAGUCCCGCAACGAGCGCAACCCUUAUCCUUUGUUGCCAGCGAUUAGGUCGGGAACUCAAAGGAGACUGCCAGUGAUAAACUGGAGGAAGGUGGGGAUGACGUCAAGUCAUCAUGGCCCUUACGACCAGGGCUACACACGUGCUACAAUGGCGCAUACAAAGAGAAGCGACCUCGCGAGAGCAAGCGGACCUCAUAAAGUGCGUCGUAGUCCGGAUUGGAGUCUGCAACUCGACUCCAUGAAGUCGGAAUCGCUAGUAAUCGUGGAUCAGAAUGCCACGGUGAAUACGUUCCCGGGCCUUGUACACACGCCCGUCACACCAUGGGAGUGGGUUGCAAAAGAAGUAGGUAGCUUAACCUUCGGGGAGGGCGCUUACCACUUUGUGAUUCAUGACUGGGGUGAAGUCGUAACAAGGUAACCGUAGGGGAACCUGCGGUUGGAUCACCU